rnacentral:misc_RNA from 1 species
GUGAAGAACGUAGUGAAAUGCGAUAAGUAAUGUGAAUUGCAGAAUUCAGUGAAUCAUCGAAUCUUUGAACGCACAUUGCGCCCCUUGGUAUUCCGAGGGGCAUGCCUGUUCGAGCGUCAUUAUAACCCCUCAAGCUCAGCUUGGUGUUGGGGCCUGCUGCACUGGCAGCCCUUAAAAUCAGUGGCGGCGCCAUCUGGCUCUAAGCGUAGUAAUUCUUCUCGCUAUGGAGUCCUGGUGGAUGCUUGCCAUCAACCCCCAAUUUUUCUAUGGUUGACCUCGGAUCAGGUAGGGAUACCCGCUGAACUUAAGCAUAUCAAUAAGCGGAGGA